UUUUUUUUUUUUUUUAUUAAAAAAAAAUCUGUUCUUAACAGUUUAAUCUCUGUUUUGUCCCCUAUCAGGGGCCGGUGUAUGGAAUAGAUUUUAGGAACCGGGAGAUGGAAAAAGAUGCUUGGUCGGUCCUCUUACUUCCAAUUUGGGGCACAGCUAUGCAAUCCCAAUAUGCAAUCCCAAUAUGAGUG